rnacentral:rRNA from 1 species
AUGUUACCAGAUGGUAGUGGUUCAGAGGCAACACCGCCGGAGAGCAGUCUGAGCACAGAUAUUAUAGUUCUUGAGGCUCUACUAGAGGCAGAAAGAGAUGGUGUGGCUGCCAUGAAUGAGGUAAUCUCGAUCUUGAAGCUGGAAAUUAUGCAAUUAGCUGCACGCACUAUGCAAGCAACCCAAGAAUUGGAGGAAGUAAGAAUGUUCCAUUUGAAGACAGAGGAGGUCCUGCUGCUUCUGCUAUUUGAAGCCCAGGGUAAUCCCAGUUCUUCUUUAGAUAGCAGUUGA